AUCCAUGUCUCCUAUGGCUUCCGCAUUGCAGGCAGAUUCUUUACCCACUGAGUGAUUGGGGCUUCCCCCUACUUUGCAAGGUGUAUGUGAAAGAAUACUGCAAAUCCAAAAAUGCUGUCUAAAUGCAAGGACUAAAUUAAAACAGUGCUUGUGCUCCAAUGCAGAUUGCAAUAGCUGCAAUAGUUCAUAUUUCUGUGUUCUUGUUGCAGAAGAGCACAUUGUGUUUAUUUAUAAUCACUCCCUUUCCCCAUCCUGAAGUGUUUUUGAGACAGAGAGAAAGCAGAACUGGACUGUGUUUGGUUCAUGUGAGUGGGAAGUCUGAGGACUAUGAGACUCCAGCCAGUGGUAGAAGUGAUCAGAGUUCAAAGCUGCUUCCUCAUGCCUCCAUGUCUUUGUCGUCUGGGAGAUGGAAUAGAACGUUGGAAAAAUCCUAAACUCAGAGGCUGAAAAAGUCCUAAUGUAGUUCCUUGAGAACUAGCAGAUCUCCAGGCCAAGUCUGCUGUGUGUGGCCCUGAUCUUUGUGAUUAAAAUGGUUGAGCAGGAAAAGAAGACUGUUGUUUAUGAGCCCUCGGAACUCUGCUGUCCCUAACUCUCCAUUCCACCUUGAGUUUUGUUGGACUGGCUGAGCUGAGGACCAGAUGCAAUUGAAAUACCUGCUGCCUUAGUGGAAUAAUGGCCAACUCAAGAGCUUCUGGGGAUGAUCUCUAUGGUAAAGCUGCUCCCUAAAAUUUGGAACAUUAGUCAAAAGGUAUAAGACCAAACAUUGGAAUCAAAAUGGAAUGUGCUUUGCUCUUCAAAUACCACUUAUGCUGGCAUUAGAGAAGGCUGGGGGUAAGUCAAAUAUCCAUUACUGGGCAAACAGCUUUAAGUAUGUUUAUUUUCUGGGGUUCUCCCCAUAUGUAUUAGUCAGAGUUGGUCAGAGGCUAACUGCCUCUUUUAUGAGCCUCAAGGGUAGCUGCCCUCAAAUACAUUCAAUCACAUCAGAACUCAGAAAUGUCAUUUGGGAGGUUGUUCAUCUGGAUGAAGAAUUUAGAAAACAAAAAUCCUACCCCCUGCCAGGUUACUGGAUGCACCUCAGUCAUAUUCCCAGGUCUAAGCCAGUGUUCAUCCUUCACGUUUGGAUUGGCUUAAAGUUUAAAACAACAUUUAGUUUCAGAUACCAUAUUUAAAAAUUUGGCUGUGUAUUCUUUUCUGGAGCCACAACUGAUCACACUUGCUUUUUUGGAUACUGAAUGCAUAGGGAUAAAGCUUUAGGACUACUCAGCUAUAUCCGUAUCUGAAAUAAUGAACAGUAAAUAAUAAAAUGGCUACAUUAAAACUUUUCAUUUUAUAAAAGGACCCAUUUCAGUAUUCUUUUA